UCCAGACUCCUACGGGAGGCAGCAGUGCGGAAUAUUGGUCCAUGGGCGGGAGCCUGCACCAGCCACGUCGCUUGAGGGACGCCGGUCCUAUGGAUUGUCCACCUCUUUAGUCUUGGAGCAAUGCCGGGCACGUGUUCCCUUCGGGAGAGUCCCCGCAGAAUAAUCCUCUUCUAACUCCUUGCCCGCAGCCGCGUUCAUACGGAGGCUGCUCUCGUUAUCCGGAUUUAUUGGGUUUAAAGGGUGCGUAGGCGGAAUGCCAAGUCAGGGGUAAAAUCGCGGGGCUCAACCUCGCUCCGCCGUUGAAACUGGCGUUCUUGAGUGGGCGAGAAGUAUGCGGAAUGCGUGGUGUAGCGGUGAAAUGCAUAGAGAGCAAGCAGAACUCCGAUUGCGAAGGCAGCAUACCGGCGCCCAACUGACGCUGAAGCACGAAAGCGUGGGGAUCGAACAGGAUUAGAUACCCGCGUA
rnacentral:rRNA from 1 species